GCACCGAUAGCUCAACUGGAUAGAGUACCUGGCUUCGGACCAGGUGGUUGGAGGUUCGAACCCUCUUCGGUGCGC
rnacentral:tRNA from 33 species